AUAACGAUCUUUCCAUGUGAUCUUAUUUCUCUGGAUAUUUACUUUACUUUGGACAGAAUUUUCUUGUUUAACUAUAUCAAUCCAAUUUUGUGGAAUGGAUUGUUUCAAUUUAUGAAAUUCAGCAAUCCAGUUUACUUUACACUUUAAUUUGUUCAAAAUAUAAUUUUCUGAUAGUGACAUAGUGUCAUCUAGAAUGUCAUUCAAGUAUAUUUAUAUCACUUUUAAUCCAGUUUUCAAAGAUAAUUGGUUUCUUAUGAAUGCAAUAAAUUUAUUCCCCCA
rnacentral:lncRNA from 1 species